rnacentral:rRNA from 1 species
GUUGUAUGGUUAAGUGACUAAGCGUACACGGUGGAUGCCUUGGCAGUCAGAGGCGAUGAAAGACGUAGUAACUUGCGAUAAGCCCAGAUUAGGUAGUAACAACCAUUUGAGUCUGGGAUUUCUGAAUGGGGAAACCCACGUGCAUAAGCACGUAUCCUUACCUGAAUACAUAGGGUAAGGAGGCGAACCGGGGGAACUGAAACAUCUAAGUACCCCGAGGAAAAGAAAUCAACCGAGAUUCCGAAAGUAGCGGCGAGCGAAAUUGGACUAGCCCUUAAGCUUUACACGCGUUAGACGAACGGUCUGGAAAGUCCGACGAUACAGGGUGAUAGUCCCGUAGUUGACGACGUGUGUUCAGUGAAAUCGAGUAGGGCGGGACACGUGAUAUCCUGUCUGAAUAUGGGGGGACCAUCCUCCAAGGCUAAAUACUACUGACUGACCGAUAGUGAACCAGUACCGUGAGGGAAAGGCGAAAAGAACCCCUGUGAGGGGAGUGAAAUAGAACCUGAAACCGUGUACGUACAAGCAGUAGGAGCACCUUCGUGGUGUGACUGCGUACCUUUUGUAUAAUGGGUCAGCGACUUAUAUUCAGUGGCAAGGUUAACCAUCUAGGGGAGCCGUAGGGAAACCGAGUCUUAACUGGGCGUUCAGUCUCUGGAUAUAGACCCGAAACCAGGUGAUCUAGCCAUGGGCAGGUUGAAGGUUGAGUAACAUCAACUGGAGGACCGAACCGACUAAUGUUGAAAAAUUAGCGGAUGACUUGUGGCUAGGGGUGAAAGGCCAAUCAAACCUGGAGAUAGCUGGUUCUCCCCGAAAGCUAUUUAGGUAGCGCCUCGGACGAAUACUACUGGGGGUAGAGCACUGUUAAGGCUAGGGGGUCAUCCCGACUUACCAACCCUUUGCAAACUCCGAAUACCAGUAAGUACUAUCCGGGAGACACACGGCGGGUGCUAACGUCCGUCGUGGAGAGGGAAACAACCCAGACCGCCAGCUAAGGUCCCAAAUUACUACUAAGUGGGAAACGAUGUGGGAAGGCUCAGACAGCCAGGAUGUUGGCUUAGAAGCAGCCAUCAUUUAAAGAAAGCGUAAUAGCUCACUGGUCGAGUCGGCCUGCGCGGAAGAUGUAACGGGGCUAAGUAGUAAACCGAAGCUGCGGCAAUAUACUUUUGUAUAUUGGGUAGGGGAGCGUUCUGUAAGCGGUUGAAGGUGUGUGGUAACGCAUGCUGGACGUAUCAGAAGUGCGAAUGCUGACAUGAGUAACGAUAAAGGGGGUGAAAAACCUCCUCGCCGGAAGACCAAGGGUUCCUGUCCAACGUUAAUCGGGGCAGGGUAAGUCGACCCCUAAGGCGAGGCCGAAAGGCGUAGUCGAUGGGAAACGGGUUAAUAUUCCCGUACUUCUUACAAUUGCGAUGGGGGGACGGAGAAGGCUAGGUGGGCCUGGCGACGGUUGUCCAGGUUCAAGUGCGUAGGCUU